GACGAACGCUGGCGGCGUGCUUAACACAUGCAAGUCGAACGGAAAGGCCUCUUUCGGGGGGUACUCGAGUGGCGAACGGGUGAGUAACACGUGAGUAACCUGCCCUCGACUUUGGGAUAACUUCAGGAAACUGGGGCUAAUACCGGAUACGAGCUCCUGCUGCAUGGUGGGGGUUGGAAAGUUUCGGCGGUUGGGGAUGGACUCGCGGCUUAUCAGCUUGUUGGUGGGGUAGUGGCUUACCAAGGCUUUGACGGGUAGCCGGCCUGAGAGGGUGACCGGCCACAUUGGGACUGAGAUACGGCCCAGACUCCUACGGGAGGCAGCAGUGGGGAAUAUUGCACAAUGGGUGGAAGCCUGAUGCAGCAACGCCGUGUGCGGGAUGACGGCCUUCGGGUUGUAAACCGCUUUCGCUCAUGACGAAGCUUUGUGUGACGGUAGUGGGUAAAGAAGCACCGGCUAACUACGUG
rnacentral:rRNA from 1 species